ensembl:lncRNA
AUAUGACUGCAGUCUUGGUUUUAUGACUGUAGUCUUGAGUUUACGACUGUAGUCUUGGUUUUAUGACUGUAGUCUUGAGCUUAUGACUGCAGUCCUGAGUUUAUGACUGUAGUCUUGAGUUUAUGACUGUAUCUUGUUUAUGACUGUAGUCCUGGGUUUAUGACUGUAGUCUUGCGGUGCUACACUCACUCAUCAUGAACUCCAGUUGUAGUCCUGGUUUGGCCAAAACGUUCUGCUUUUAAAAUGCGUCAUGUGACAUGAACGUUGCUAAUGAAGGCUGCAGGUGAACGGGCCUUUUGCAUAAUGUAUCAAACUCUGGUAUCAAUCAUCAAUAUCAAUGCGUUCCCUGUCAUGACAUCAUUCCGGACUCUUCUAACAGACAUUGGACUGCUCACCAUGUGGCAUAAAUGUGAAGUCAGCAGCCUUUUCUCUUCCCAACAGUUCUGAGACGCUGCAUCCUGGUUCCAUGACGUGUUUGAUGCAAAUGUAACUCCAUAGUGUUUUCAUUUACCUCACAUACUCAUAUUGUCUUUUGCUCUGAAAUUCAAAAAUGAAGUGUUACCUUCUUCGUUUCCCUUAUUGAGACAAGGAUGGACACAAUAUUGUUCUUGGUUAUGUGAAAUAUAGAGUUGAAUGUGUGAUGUUUCAAAGCAUUUGUGUCCUGUGAAGGUUUGGGGUUUUACAAGAAAGGUUAGCAAGCUGCUUUUUUGAAAUCAUAGCACUUUUUGUAAAUUGAAUACCUUUUAUUUUCCUUCAUUGCCUUUUGUUAAAAUACCUUUACUACAAAUGUAUAGAUGAUAUAUUUAGCUCUUUUAGAGAACAAUAACAUGUAAAUACAAUAUAGUGUUUUAUUUUUACAGGUACAAUGACAGUGUUUUACUUAUCAAAGUGUCCCUUUUGCUUUACUUGCACAAGUGUUCUGUGUGUCUCAUUGAGGGCUCUUCUAACAAACGCCUGGUUCUGCAGAAGGUUUGAACAGCCCAGCGAUGGUUUGGGUGAGAGCACAAGCGUGAUGGAGCUUGGAUGGAUGCUUCCAUCACUUGUAAAGAGACAAACCAGAUAUACUGUACGUUCGCUCAGUCCCAGGGUUGUUUUCUUCUUCUGUCAUACUUUGACCUCAGUGGGACAUUCUGAGAAUAUACGACUUGUUUUCUUAGUGGUUUCUGCCUGAAGGCUGUUCAUCAGCUAACUGCAUUAUUGUGGAUGACAGUUGAGAGGUAAAAACUAAUCUAGCCGUCCUGGGAAACGGCGUGGUGACCAGGAGACGCUCUUCAGUGAGAGGCACAGACCUUCAGCAAUCCAUGUCGACCUUCUUCAUAAGCUCCAGUGGUACCAGUGAACUUUAUUGAAUGUGUAUGUAAGAAACACUGCAAUACUGCGAUUUAUAUAUUUUGGUAUUGGAUCAAGCUGCUAACAUACUGAAGGUGCAACAGACCUCCUUUCUACUUCUUAAACGUAUCGUUUGUACAGACUAAAUAUCCAGCUCGUGCUUGUACCAUAUAGCUGCAUACAUGUCAUUGUUCUGUGAUAUCACAUGGAGCCCCGACGGAGGUCCUUCUGCAGAGACGACGUGAUGUUCAUUCCAGCCGCGUUGCUUUGGGGAUCGAUGGCGUCCUGUGACAGUGAUGGACUCAUUGCUAAUUCUCUAUAUGUUACUUCAAUUUUACAAACUACUGUAGUGUUUUAUGAAUAUAGGCAAAGUUAUUCACAUGAACAUAUAUGUGUGUAUAUAUAUAUAUAUAGUAAAUAUAUAUGUAUAUGUUUACAGGUUGUAAAAUAAAAGUGAACGCUGCAGCAUAUUUAUCUGUUGUUUUCUAAACAUCGACGUCAUCCAAAGAGGCAGAUUAUUUAUUGUCUGGCAGAAUAACCAUGAUUUGAUUUACACACCUUGCUGCUAUGAGAGAAAAGAACUGCAGUCGUCAACUCCAGUGUUUUUACCCAAUGAAAGUUGAAUAAACGUAAAAUAUGG